rnacentral:lncRNA from 1 species
ACUCCCUCCGUCCCGUUAUUAAUGGCACGUUUUCCUUUUUGGGUUGUCCCGUUAUUGAUGGCACGUUUCCUUUUUUAGAAAAAAUAAGGGAGUGUUUAAUGUUAAUCAAAUCCCUAAUUAAAAGCCUAAUAAAUUAAACACGCAAUGUCCCUCUCUCCCCCUCUCUCUCUCCCACUUCGGUCUCUCCCUCUCGCCGCCUCCACCCUCCCGCCGCCUCCACCCUCCAGCCUCGCCUCCGGCCUCCGCGCUCCCAGCCUCGCCGUCGCCGCUACCUUAGCCCCUCUCCGGUGACCUCCGUCCUCUCCCUCGCCCGUCUCCACCUCGCCAGAACACGUCCUGGGCAACAGAUUCCUGCUCGCUCUCCUCACGCUCUCUGCAUUUCUCCUGACGCUCGACGCCGCCCGGGCUGACGGAACCCCCGCCAACCCGGAUCCGUCGGCUCUGCUCCAGAAUCCGGAGGCGGAGAUGACAAUAGCGGAUCCUCCGCUGGCGGAGAGAGAGACGGAGUCGGAGGCGGAGGCGCCGGCGGAGUGGGAGAGCAGGAAGAUCGGGAAGCACCACUCGUCGGACAAGUCGGAGACGUCCUCUCCCUCGCCCGUCUCCACCUCGCCAGAAAUUAGGGCUCGUCGGAAGAAGAGACGAAGGUGAGGGCAGAUCUGUUGUGUCGUCGGUGCUGAGGAAGACGAGGCGAAGGCGAGGGCGCGGCGACGCGGCUCUUUCCUCUCCAGAUCUCGCCGAUGCAGCGGCCGCCUCCCGCCGCAGAGGAAUGCAACCACGAUUUUAGGCCUAGGGUUUUAAUUGCAGAUGGAGAUUUCUUAAAUUUCUUGAAUUUCAUUACACUAUUGGAUUUGGGGGAAAUACAUUUGUUGGUUGUUUGAAUGAUGGUAUAUGGAGAGUAGAGGGAGACGAGGUGAAGGGAACGCGGCGCCAGCGCCGGCGCCGGCGCCGGCUGGUCGGUAGAGGCAGCAGAAGUGUGUUGGUUUAUUAACUUAAAUCAAUUAACUCAUGUGUGGGCCUUGCAAUUUUUCUCCUAAUACAACUCUCCUU